UACGUAGGGUGCAAGCGUUGUCCGGAAUUAUUGGGCGUAAAGAGCUCGUAGGCGGUCUGUCGCGUCGGCUGUGAAAACCCGGAGCUCAACUCCGGGCCUGCAGUCGAUACGGGCAAACUGGAGUACUGCAGGGAGACUGGAAUUCCUGGUGUAGCGGUGAAAUGCGCAGAUAUCAGGAGGAACACCGGUGGCGAAGGCGGGUCUCUGGGCCGGAUACUGACGCUGGAGGAGCGAAAGCGUGGGGAGCGAACAGG
rnacentral:rRNA from 1 species